UACGAGGGGUCCUAGCGUUGUUCGGAAUCAUUGGGCGUAAAGAGUAUGUAGGCGGCCAGAUAAGUCAGGUGUGAAAUCCCCGGGCUCAACCCGGGAAGUGCAUUUGAUACUGUCUGGCUUGAGUAUGGAAGAGGGUAGUGGAAUUCCUGGUGUAGUGGUGAAAUACGUAGAUAUCAGGAGGAACACCGGUGGCGAAGGCGGCUCACUGGCUCAUUUCUGACGCUCAGGCGCGACAGCGUGGGGAUCAAACAGG
rnacentral:rRNA from 1 species